rnacentral:rRNA from 1 species
CCGCCCCCCCCUAAACCUUACAAUGCACGUCGAGCGGGGGAAGGUAGCUUGCUACCGGACCUAGCGGCGGACGGGUGAGUAAUGCUUAGGAAUCUGCCUAUUAGUGGGGGACAACAUCUCGAAAGGGAUGCUAAUACCGCAUACGUCCUACGGGAGAAAGCAGGGGAUCUUCGGACCUUGCGCUAAUAGAUGAGCCUAAGUCGGAUUAGCUAGUUGGUGGGGUAAAGGCCUACCAAGGCGACGAUCUGUAGCGGGUCUGAGAGGAUGAUCCGCCACACUGGGACUGAGACACGGCCCAGACUCCUACGGGAGGCAGCAGUGGGGAAUAUUGGACAAUGGGGGGAACCCUGAUCCAGCCAUGCCGCGUGUGUGAAGAAGGCCUUAUGGUUGUAAAGCACUUUAAGCGAGGAGGAGGCUACUUUAGUUAAUACCUAGAGAUAGUGGACGUUACUCGCAGAAUAAGCACCGGCUAACUCUGUGCCAGCAGCCGCGGUAAUACAGAGGGUGCGAGCGUUAAUCGGAUUUACUGGGCGUAAAGCGUGCGUAGGCGGCUUAUUAAGUCGGAUGUGAAAUCCCCGAGCUUAACUUGGGAAUUGCAUUCGAUACUGGUGAGCUAGAGUAUGGGAGAGGAUGGUAGAAUUCCAGGUGUAGCGGUGAAAUGCGUAGAGAUCUGGAGGAAUACCGAUGGCGAAGGCAGCCAUCUGGCCUAAUACUGACGCUGAGGUACGAAAGCAUGGGGAGCAAACAGGAUUAGAUACCCUGGUAGUCCAUGCCGUAAACGAUGUCUACUAGCCGUUGGGGCCUUUGAGGCUUUAGUGGCGCAGCUAACGCGAUAAGUAGACCGCCUGGGGAGUACGGUCGCAAGACUAAACUCAAAAUGAAUUGACGGGGCCCGCACAAGCGGUGGAGCAUGUGGUUUAAUUCGAUGCAACGCGAAGAACCUUACCUGGCCUUGACAUACUAGAAACUUUCAGAGAUGGAUUGUGCCUUCGGAUCUAGAUACAGUGCUGCAUGGCUGUCGUCAGCUCGUGUCGUGAGAUGUUGGGUAAGUCCCGCACGAGCGCACCCUUUUCUACUGCAGCAUUUCGAUGGUACUUUAGAUACUGCAGUGACAACUGGAGAGCGGGACGACGUCAGUCAUCAUGCCUUACGGCAGCUACCACUGCUACAAUGUCGGUACAAGGGUGCUACCACGCGAUGUGAUGCUAUCUCAAAGGAUCGAAUCGUAUGAUCGCACUCACUCAUGAUCGAAUCCUAUUAUCCGGAUCAAAGUGUGCCGCGCGUAGU